GCAGAGCACUCCGUACGGGAGGCAGCUAGUGGGGAAUAUUGCACAAUGGGCGCAAGCCUGAUGCAGCCAUGCCGCGUGUAUGAAGAAGGCCUUCGGGUUGUAAAGUACUUUCAGCAGUGAGGAAGGUGGAUACUGUUAAUAGCAUAUUCAUUUGACGUUAGCUGCAGAAGAAGCACCCGGCUAACUCCGUGCCAGCAGCCGCGGUAAUACGGAGGGUGCGAGCGUUAAUCGGAAUUACUGGGCGUAAAGCGCAUGCAGGUGGUUUGUUAAGUCAGAUGUGAAAGCCCGGGGCUCAACCUCGGAAUUGCAUUUUGAAACUGGCAAAACUAGAGUACUGUAGAGGGGGGUAGAAUUUCAGGUGUAGCGGUGAAAUGCGUAGAGAUCUGAAGGAAUACCGGUGGCGAAGGCGGCCCCCUGGACAGAUACUGACACUCAGAUGCGAAAGCGUGGGGAGCAAACAGGAUUAGAUACCCUGGUAG
rnacentral:rRNA from 1 species